rnacentral:rRNA from 1 species
UACGGGGGGGGCAAGCGUUGUUCGGAAUUACUGGGCGUAAAGGGCGCGUAGGCGGCCAUCUAAGUCAGACGUGAAAUCCCUCGGCUUAACCGGGGAACUGCGUCUGAUACUGGAUGGCUUGAGGUCGGGAGAGGGAUGCGGAAUUCCAGGUGUAGCGGUGAAAUGCGUAGAUAUCUGGAGGAACACCGGUGGCGAAGGCGGCAUCCUGGACCAAUUCUGACGCUGAGUGAGCGAAAGCCAGGGGAGCAAACGGG